rnacentral:rRNA from 1 species
AAUCCUAACGAAGUAAUUCCGGAGGAAUCCAAUGAACAACAACGAUUACUUAGGAUCAUCUCGCGAAUUUGCAGCACCGUAGUAGAAUCAUUACCAACGGCACGCUGUGCGCCUAAGUGCAAAAAGACAGUGCAAGCUUUGUUAUGCCGAAACCUAAAUGUAAAGUCAUCAACACUUCUAAAUGCCACUUCUUCCCGCCGCAUCCGUCUUCAGGACGAUAUAGUCACAGGUUUUCACUUUUCAGUGAGUGAAAGAUUUGUAUCCGGGUCUACGUUCAAAGCUUCUACCAUAGACCUAAUUCGAGAAGGCUUGAUAGUCCUAAGAAAGGUGAGGGUGGGGGGUUCUAUUUAG